rnacentral:rRNA from 1 species
AUUGAACGCUGGCGGCAGGCCUAACACAUGCAAGUCGAGCGGGGCGGCGGGCGGGUGAGUGAUGCCUAUGUAUCUGCCUGGCAGUGGGGGGUAACGUCCGGAAAGGGGCGGUAGUACAGCAUACUCUCAGUUGAGCCUAGGUCGGAUUAGCUAGUUGGUGGGGUAGAGGCCUACCAAGGCGACGAUCCCUAACUGGUCUGAGAGGAUGAUCAGUCACACUGGAACUGAGACACGGGCCAGACUCCUACGGGAGGCAGCAGUGGGGAAUAUUGGACAAUGGGCGAAAGCCUGAUCCAGCCAUGCCGCGUGUGUGAAGAAGGUCUUCGGAUUGUAAAGUACUUUAAGUUGGGAGGCGUUACCAACAGAAGAAGCACCGGCUAACUCCGUGCCAGCAGCCGCGGUAAUUC